rnacentral:rRNA from 1 species
CCUACGGGAGGCUGCAGUGGGGGAUAUUGCACAAUGGGGGAAACCCUGAUGCAGCGACGCCGCGUGUGGGAAGACGGUCCUCUGGAUUGUAAACCACUGUCCCCAGGGACGAAGAUGACGGUACCUGGGGAGGAAGCUCCGGCUAACUACGUGCAAGCAGCCGCGGUAAUACGCAGGGAGCGAGCGUUGUCCGGAAUUACUGGGUGUAAGGGGAGCGUAGGCGGGACUGCAAGUUGGGGGUCAAAUCUACCGGCUCAACCGGUAGCCGCACUCAAAACUGCAGUUCUUGAGUGAAGUAGAGGCAGGCGGAAUUCCUAGUGUAGCGGUGAAAUGCGUAGAGAUUAGGAGGAACACCAGUGGCGAAGGCGGCCUGCUGGGCUUUUACUGACGCUGAGGCUCGAAAGUGUGGGGAGCAAACAGGAUUAGAUACCCGAGUAGUC